rnacentral:rRNA from 1 species
CUACGUGCCAGCAGCCGCGGUAAUACGGAAGGUCCAGGCGUUAUCCGGAUUUAUUGGGUUUAAAGGGAGCGUAGGCUGGAGAUUAAGUGUGUUGUGAAAUGUAGACGCUCAACGUCUGAAUUGCAGCGCAUACUGGUUUCCUUGAGUACGCACAACGUUGGCGGAAUUCGUCGUGUAGCGGUGAAAUGCUUAGAUAUGACGAAGAACUCCGAUUGCGAAGGCAGCUGACGGGAGCGCAACUGACGCUUAAGCUCGAAGGUGCGGGUAUCAAACAGGAUUAGAUACCCUGGUAGUCCGCACGGUAAACGAUGGAUGCCCGCUGUUAGCGCCUGGCGUUAGCGGCUAAGCGAAAGCAUUAAGCAUCCCACCUGGGGAGUACGCCGGCAACGGUGAAACUCAAAGGAAUUGACGGGGGCCCGCACAAGCGGAGGAACAUGUGGUUUAAUUCGAUGAUACGCGAGGAACCUUACCCGGGCU